UGUCUUCGUUACGAUUCCAUUUUCAUUAUGCUCGAUCUAAUAAUAAUUCUUCUAACGCUACCGGCCGUUCCCGAUGCGAACGGGGUUUUCUCUUCCGAUCUGCGAUCACCGUACGAUCUAUAAGUUUUUCAAAGUAUGCGUAUAAAUCUAACUUCUUUUUAAACGCAUCGAUUAUAUAAGCGAGAGAAAAGCUGACGCACGAAAAUAAGUUUUAACAAAAAUCAACGGUUGCAGUUUCGAUAGCGUUUUAUUUUAACCAAUGUUUCCUCAAUCGCGAGUCCUUGUCGUAAAUUAGAGCUGCGUCGACCGUGAAAAACCGUCAUCGAUCGUUGCGUUUCGUGUAAAAUCGGGAAACGUUCGUUCUUUUUCGACGGAACCGUCAAGUAGAUAUGCUACCAAAAAACAACUUGGAAAAGAUACGUGUUCAACCACAACCUAAUCCAGACCAUGCUAGAGAUACGUAAACAUCGUAACAACAGUCGAGGAGCCUGGAAAUAUCGACUGACGCAUCCACGCGACGAAUGUGUUCUUUUUAUUAACUAGGUAUCCUACGAUUUCUGCUUUGCCAAUCGUCUGCUCGAAAUCCAGACGAUUUUAUUUCCGGUCCAGGGUCAAAGUAUCGCGAUUAAAUCAUUUCUAUGUUUCAUAUUACCUUUCCUAUGAUCGAAGUGUCGAGUAAAAUCGAAAGUAAAGGGAGAUCCCAUGAUCGUCUGCAUCUUAUGCACGUGGAAUUGCGUAAGACUAGAGCCGCGUGGGUGUAGGUGUGCAUGAGAACACUUUAAUGCGUUCAAUCAGAUAGACACCAUGCGUGCAAGCCACGAAAUAUGUCAUUACGUGAUUAUCAUAUCGUCACUCUAAUUAGGAAACCUUGUAAUUCUACUUUUGGCAAAACAUUUUCGAAUAAACAUAGUACAAUUCAGUACAGGAUAAUGAUCUUGUAAAAUUAAAUUAUUUAAACAAAUUUUCCCAAUGAGUGUGUUAAUAUCAAUGAUCACAAU